rnacentral:rRNA from 1 species
UACGGGGGGGGCAAGCGUUGUUCGGAAUUACUGGGCGUAAAGGGCGCGUAGGCGGCCUCUUAAGUCAGACGUGAAAUCCCUCGGCUUAACCGGGGAACUGCGUCUGAUACUGGAUGGCUUGAGUUCGGGAGAGGGAUGCGGAAUUCCAGGUGUAGCGGUGAAAUGCGUAGAUAUCUGGAGGAACACCGGUGGCGAAGGCGGCAUCCUGGACCGACACUGACGCUGAGGAGCGAAAGCCAGGGGAGCAAACGGG